UGCAGUCGNNCGAACCUUUUAGGUGAGUGGCGCACGGGUGCGUAACGCGUGGGAACCUACAUCCAGGUGGGGAAUAACACAGAGAAAUUUGUGCUAAUACCCCAUAAUAUCUCCGGAUCAAAGAUUUAUCGCCUGGGGAUGGGCCCGCGUUAGAUUAGGUAGUUGGUGGGGUAAAAGCCUACCAAGCCGACGAUCUAUAGCUGGUCUUAGAGGACGAUCAGCCACACUGGUACUGAGACACGGACCAGACUCCUACGGGAGGCAGCAGUGAGGAAUAUUGCGCAAUGGGGGCAACCCUGACGCAGCCAUGCCGCGUGAGUGAAGAAGGCCCUAGGGUUGUAAAGCUCUUUCAGAUGCGAAGAUAAUGACGGUACCAUCAGAAGAAGCUCCGGCUAAAUUCGUGCCAGCAGCCGCGGUAAUACGAAUGGAGCGAGCGUUGUUCGGAAUCACUGGGCGUAAAGCGUAUGUAGGCGGAUUUGCAAGUCAGAAGUGAAAUCCCGGGGCUUAACCCCGGAACUGCUUUUGAAACUGCAAAUCUAGAAUCCCGGAGAGGUCAGGGGAAUUCCGAGUGUAGAGGUGAAAUUCGCAGAUAUUCGGAGGAACACCAGUGGCGUANGCGCCUGACUGGACGGGUAUUGACGCUGAGAUACGAAAGCGUGNGGAGCAAACAGGAUUAGAUACCCUGGUAGUCCACGCCGUAAACGAUGUGUGCUAGUUGUCGGGCAGUAUACUGUUCGGUGACGCANCUNNCGCAUUAAGCACACCGCCNGGGGAGUACGGUCGCAAGAUUAAAACUCAAAGGAAUUGACGGGGANCCGCACAAGCGGUGGANCAUGNUGUUUAAUUCGANGCAACGC
rnacentral:rRNA from 1 species